rnacentral:rRNA from 1 species
UUGAACGCUGGCGGCAUGCUUUACACCUGCAAGUCGAACGGUAACAGGCCUUCGGGUGCUGACGAGUGGCGAACGGGUGAGUAAUGCAUCGGAACGUACCCAGAGGUGGGGGAUAACGCAGCGAAAGCUGUGCUAAUACCGCAUGUGAUCUGAGGAUGAAAGCGGGGGACCGAGCAGCAAUGUUUGGCCUCGCGCCUUUGGAGCGGCCGAUGUCGGAUUAGCUAGUUGGUGGGGUAAAGGCCUACCAAGGCGACGAUCCGUAGCUGGUCUGAGAGGACGACCAGCCACACUGGGACUGAGACACGGCCCAGACUCCUACGGGAGGCAGCAAUGGGGAAUUUUGGACAAUGGGCGCAAGCCUGAUCCAGCAAUGCCGCGUGCGGGAAGAAGGCCUUCGGGUUGUAAACCGCUUUUGGCAGGAACGAAACGGUGUCCGCUAAUACCGGGCGCUAAUGACGGUACCUGCAGAAUAAGCACCGGCUAACUACGUG